rnacentral:rRNA from 1 species
UACAGAGGGGGCAAGCGUUGUCCGGACUGACUGGGCGUAAAGCGUGCGCAGGCGGUUGUGCAAGACAGAUGUGAAAUCCCCGGGCUCAACCUGGGAACUGCAUUUGUGACUGCACAGCUGGAGUGCGGCAGAGGGGGAUGGAAUUCCGCGUGUAGCAGUGAAAUGCGUAGAUAUGCGGAGGAACACCGAUGGCGAAGGCAAUCCCCUGGGCCUGCACUGACGCUCAUGCACGAAAGCGUGGGGAGCAAACAGG